rnacentral:rRNA from 1 species
UCCUACGGGUGGCUGCAGUGGGGAAUAUUGCACAAUGGGCGCAAGCCUGAUGCAGCGACGCCGCGUGAGGGAUGACGGCCUUCGGGUUGUAAACCUCUUUCAGCAGGGAAGAAGCUUUCGGGUGACGGUACCUGCAGAAGAAGCACCGGCUAACUACGUGCCAGCAGCCGCGGUAAUACGUAGGGUGCGAGCGUUGUCCGGAAUUAUUGGGCGUAAAGAGCUUGUAGGCGGUUUGUCGCGUCUGCUGUGAAAAUCCGGGGCUCAACUCCGGACUUGCAGUGGGUACGGGCAGACUAGAGUGUGGUAGGGGAGACUGGAAUUCCUGGUGUAGCGGUGGAAUGCGCAGAUAUCAGGAGGAACACCGAUGGCGAAGGCAGGUCUCUGGGCCAUUACUGACGCUGAGAAGCGAAAGCAUGGGGAGCGAACAGGAUUAGAUACCCUUGUAGUC